AGAAGUAUUUCAAUAUGGCAGAAUUCCAGGACUGGGAUUAAAGUGUCAGAUGGGUACAGCUCCCAACUUCCUGGACAUAAGAAGUACUUCUUUCUCUGCCUGAUUUGCUCCUCUGUUGCUCCCAAGAUGGCGGACCUCUCCAUAGCAAUGGGAAGACAGCAAGAUGUAUGAACCUACCCCUGGAAGCAAAAGCACUGACCUCACGUAAUUCCCUGGACAUGUAAGAAAUAGGAGUGGCCAAUGAAAUAAAAGAACAACAAAGCUAUUUUCACUGUGAACAGCAAAAACAACAAAAGGUUGGAGUGAGGCAAGACUGGAAACAAAAUCAACAAGGAGAGUAUUUUACUAAUCCAGCCGCCAUGCUGUAAGGAAGGCUAACCUGCUAGAGAGGAGGCCAUGUGGAGAGGCCCUGGAGAAUGAGACACCAUAUGGAGAGAGAUGCCAGUCAACUCCUAGCUGUUCU
rnacentral:lncRNA from 1 species